CUGCUAUGGGGGUCCGACUAAGCCAUGCGAGUCAUGGGGCGCGCUCUGCGCGCACCGGCGGACGGCUCAGUAACACGUCGGUAACCUACCCUCGGGAGGGGGAUAACCCCGGGAAACUGGGGCUAAUCCCCCAUAGGCCUGGGGUACUGGAAGGUCCCCAGGCCGAAAGGGGCUCUGCCCGCCCGAGGAUGGGCCGGCGGCCGAUUAGGUAGUUGGUGGGGUAACGGCCCACCAAGCCGAAGAUCGGUACGGGCCAUGAGAGUGGGAGCCCGGAGAUGGACACUGAGACACGGGUCCAGGCCCUACGGGGCGCAGCAGGCGCGAAACCUCCGCAAUGCGGGAAACCGCGACGGGGGGACCCCCAGUGCCGUGGCACAGCCACGGCUUUUCCGGAGUGUAAAAAGCUCCGGGAAUAAGGGCUGGGCAAGGCCGGUGGCAGCCGCCGCGGUAAUACCGGCGGCCCAAGUGGUGGCCGCUAUUAUUGGGCCUAAAGCGUCCGUAGCCGGGCCCGUAAGUCCCUGGCGAAAUCCCACGGCUCAACCGUGGGGCUUGCUGGGGAUACUGCGGGCCUUGGGACCGGGAGAGGCCGGGGGUACCCCUGGGGUAGGGGUGAAAUCCUAUAAUCCCAGGGGGACCGCCAGUGGCGAAGGCGCCCGGCUGGAACGGGUCCGACGGUGAGGGACGAAGGCCAGGGGAGCGAACCGGAUUAGAUACCCGGGUAGUCCUGGCUGUAAAGGAUGCGGGCUAGGUGUCGGGCGAGCUUCGAGCUCGCCCGGUGCCGGAGGGAAGCCGUUAAGCCCGCCGCCUGGGGAGUACGGCCGCAAGGCUGAAACUUAAAGGAAUUGGCGGGGGAGCACUACAAGGGGUGGAGCGUGCGGUUUAAUUGGAUUCAACGCCGGGAACCUCACCGGGGGCGACGGCAGGAUGAAGGCCAGGCUGAAGGUCUUGCCGGACGCGCCGAGAGGAGGUGCAUGGCCGCCGUCAGCUCGUACCGUGAGGCGUCCACUUAAGUGUGGUAACGAGCGAGACCCGCGCCCCCAGUUGCCAGUCCUCCCCGCUGGGGAGGAGGCACUCUGGGGGGACCGCCGGCGAUAAGCCGGAGGAAGGAGCGGGCGACGGUAGGUCAGUAUGCCCCGAAACCCCCGGGCUACACGCGCGCUACAAUGGGCGGGACAAUGGGAACCGACCCCGAAAGGGGAAGGGAAUCCCCUAAACCCGCCCUCAGUUCGGAUCGCGGGCUGCAACUCGCCCGCGUGAAGCUGGAAUCCCUAGUACCCGCGUGUCAUCAUCGCGCGGCGAAUACGUCCCUGCUCCUUGCACACACCGCCCGUCACUCCACCCGAGCGGGGUCCGGGUGAGGCCUGGUCUCCCUUCGGGGAGGCCGGGUCGAGCCUGGGCUCCGUGAGG
rnacentral:rRNA from 1 species